AGGGAGUGAGUAUUACAUCAGGUACUGGUAAAAUUUUGAAAAAUCAGUCCCUGAGUAACACUUACUUCCU
rnacentral:pre_miRNA from 14 species